rnacentral:misc_RNA from 1 species
UUCCUUCAAGCUCGCCAAAUCAUGUAACUAUUAUUUUCUCUUAGCUUUUCUGUGUGUUUUCCGAGAAAGUGUUUGAUCGUAAGUAAAACAAAUGAAACCGAUGAUGUAAUGGCAUGGUGGUUUAUUUAUUUGUUUUUGUUCCGCUGUUUGCUAAAGGAGUUGUUGCUGCCUUUUCUGGCUCCAAUUGGAAUGAUGCGAUCACUGUUUUAUUCUCUUUGCAAUUAACACUAUUUUUGGAUUAUGGUUUGUGAUGGUUUCAUUGGUAUGGUUGGUGAUGGUUUUUAAGGCUGCUUUUCACACCACCAAAUUAAUGGUUUGGGAUGUUUCAAGUUUUUGUAUUCCCAUUUUUUAUUAAUGUAUAUUUUAGUGAUUAAUUAAAAAAAUAAAAUGUGUCUUUAAUUAUUAUUGGUAUGAUAACAUUAUUCUUUUUUUUUUCCCCACUCUUUUUGGGUCGCAAUUUCCUGAUGGAUAAGAAGUAAUUUGUGCUUAGUAGGAUGUUGUUUCAAUUUA